UACAGAGGGUGCGAGCGUUGUCCGGAAUCACUGGGCGUAAAGGGCUCGUAGGCGGCCAACUAAGUCAGACGUGAAAUCCCUCGGCUUAACCGGGGAACUGCGUCUGAUACUGGAUGGCUUGAGUUUGGGAGAGGGAUGCGGAAUUCCAGGUGUAGCGGUGAAAUGCGUAGAUAUCUGGAGGAACACCGGUGGCGAAGGCGGCAUCCUGGACCAACACUGACGCUGAGUGAGCGAAAGCCAGGGGAGCAAACGGG
rnacentral:rRNA from 1 species